AAACUGUUUCCCUAAGGUACUGAGACCAUCAGCCAGUGAUCCAUCUGCCAGAAAUCCUCUUGGCCAAGGUAAUCCAAGGCUUGUCACCUGGGACUUUGGAAUAUAUAGCGCAGUCAACCCCAGACUUCAGGUCUUUUAAUAUUUAUGGGGAUAACUUGAGAUGCCUUUCUGUCACUCAUUGUCUAUGAUACAUGAUUGGUCCAUUAACUUUUCAAACAGAAUGAUAUCAUCUAUGCUGUUCCUGGAAAUCAAAGGAAGCUAUCACAGUCACUCUUUUUCUCUUGAGGAAAAGAAGAUUCUAGUCACAAGCUGAGGAUGGGUCCUGGUCCCAAUGGAAAAGACUUGAUGUUGAGAAAGAUUAAAGGCAAAAAGAAAAUGACAAAGGAAGAGAUAGAAACCCUUCAAAAUGUUCUUAUAUAUAGCCUGUUUGGGUAUCUUCAACAUGCAUUUAGUUAGACCUAAAUUCUCUCAGUGAUUUAACCUUCUUAUAAAGCCUUGCUACUUUUUUCACAUGGUAACUUAGAGUCAAAAUGGUGAUUUCAUUGUCAUUGCUAAUUAAACUGUAAUAAUAAAGACUGUCUAUCUGUUCCCA
rnacentral:lncRNA from 1 species